AAUGAACGCUGGCGGUAUGCCUAACACAUGCAAGUCGAACGAUUGCCUUCGGGUGAUAGUGGCGCACGGGUGCGUAAUGCGUGGGAAUUUGCGCUUAGGUUCGGAUUAACAGUUGGAAACGGCUGCUAAUACCGGAUGAUAUCGCGAGAUCACAGAUUAAUCGCCUGAGGAUGAGCCUGCGUUGGAUUAGGUAGUUGGUGGGGUAAAGGACUACCAAGUUGACGAUCUAUAGCUGGUCUGAGAGGAUGAUCAGCCACACUGGGACUGAGACACGGCCCAGACUCCUGCGGGAUGCAGCAGUGGGGAAUAUUGGACAAUGGGCGCAAGCCUGAUCCAGCAAUGCCUGGUGAGUGAUGAAGACCCUAGGGUUGUAAAGCUCUUUUACCCGGGAAGAUAAUGACUGUACCGAGAGAAUAAGCCCCGGCUAACUCCGUG
rnacentral:rRNA from 1 species